UACGUAGGGGGCAAGCGUUGUCCGGAUUCAUUGGGCGUAAAGAGCGUGUAGGCGGCCAGGUAGGUCGGUUGUGAAAACUGGAGGCUCAACUUUCAGAGGUCGACCGAAACCAUCUGGCUAGAGUCCGGGAGAGGAGAGUGGAAUUCCUGGUGUAGCGGUGAAAUGCGCAGAUAUCAGGAAGAACACCCGUGGCGAAAGCGGCUCUCUGGACGGACACUGACGCUGAGACGCGAAAGCGUGGGGAGCAAACAGG
rnacentral:rRNA from 1 species